CGGGACGGGUGAGUAAUGUCUGGGAAACUGCCCGAUGGAGGGGGAUAACUACUGGAAACGGUAGCUAAUACCGCAUAACGUCGCAAGACCAAAGAGGGGGACCUUCGGGCCUCUUGCCAUCGGAUGUGCCCAGAUGGGAUUAGCUAGUAGGUGGGGUAACGGCUCACCUAGGCGACGAUCCCUAGCUGAUCUGAGAGGAUGACCAGCCACACUGGAACUGAGACACGGUCCAG
rnacentral:rRNA from 1 species